rnacentral:rRNA from 1 species
GUGCCAGCAGCCGCGGUAAUACGUAGGGUGCAGGCGUUAAUCGGAAUUACUGGGCGUAAAGCGUGCGCAGGCGGUUGUGCAAGACAGAUGUGAAAUCCCCGGGCUCAACCUGGGAAUUGCAUUUGUGACUGCACGGCUAGAGUGUGUCAGAGGGGGGGUAGAAUUCCACGUGUAGCAGUGAAAUGCGUAGAGAUGGGGGAGGAAUACCGAUGGCGAAAGGCAGCCCCCUGGGAUAACACUGACGCUCAUGCACGAAAGCGUGGGGAGCAAACAGGAUUAGAUACCCUGGUAGUCC